rnacentral:rRNA from 1 species
AACGAACGCUGGCGGCAGGCUUAACACAUGCAAGUCGAACGCCCCGCAAGGGGAGUGGCAGACGGGUGAGUAACGCGUGGGAAUCUACCCAGUUCUACGGAACAACUGAGGGAAACUCCAGCUAAUACCGUAUACGCCCUAACGGGGAAAGAUUUAUCGGGGUAUGAUGAGCCCGCGUUGGAUUAGCUAGUUGGUGGGGUAAAGGCCUACCAAGGCGACGAUCCAUAGCUGGUCUGAGAGGAUGAUCAGCCACAUUGGGACUGAGACACGGCCCAAACUCCUACGGGAGGCAGCAGUGGGGAAUAUUGGACAAUGGGCGCAAGCCUGAUCCAGCCAUGCCGCGUGAGUGAUGAAGGUCUUAGGAUUGUAAAGCUCUUUCACCGAUGAAGAUAAUGACGGUAGUCGGAGAAGAAGCCCCGGCUAACUUCGUGCCAGCCGCCGCCGUAACAC